ACAGGGGUAAAAUAGGAAGUUAAAAAAGAAAAUUUAAAAACCUCACAAAACCUCCUUUUCCCUUGCAUGGUGUUAGGCUGAGGGAGAUUACAAGACGGCCUUUUCGCCAUCAGCUCUGUAAAUUCUCUUUCGCGGGCAAUUCUAAGCUACACUCUACCUAUCGACACAACCCCGCUAAUCCUAGUUGCUUUGAGUUUCAGAUACUUCUGUGAAGGUUCUGUGAUCUCGUUGUCAGUGGAAAAUGGGUUGGAAACUGCUGAAAAACUAAUUAGGCACUGGAAAGUACUAAGAGGUGAUAAUGUUAAAAAACACAUCAAGGCAGGUGAAGGUCAUGAAUUUGGGAUCUUUACAGUUGAAACACCAUUUCAUGCCUCAAAUGUUCAAGUUCUUGAUCCACUCACUGGGUAUGGUCGGGAUUAAAGUUUUAAUCACUGACAUUUAGCAAUUUAUCUUUCUUUCGUUUUAUGUUUGAAGUCAGAUUUCAAAACUAUGGAGGAAACCUUGCGAAGUGGGAAUUAGAUAUCUAGAAGAUGGUCCAAAGUGAGAGUUUGUAGAGGCUAAGGGGCAUCUCGGUCUGUAAUUUGUCGUCCUCAGAUUUUGAAGAUUAGGACAACUCCAAGACCUACAGUAGGCAUGUUGGGAGGCAUGAUAGACCUUAGCCUUUAGAUAUUUGGCGUAAGCAUAGUAGAUCUAGUUUAUAACCUUGCACGGGUAAUGAUGAAGGGAUAUACAACUAUCUAUUAAUAAAUAU